CGGCGGUAGGGUAGAUGACUAUUUCACUACUGAGAAAUGUUCGUACGUGCUGCAAAAUGUCUUCGGCGCAGAAAAAUCUCACUUCAUAUCUGAAUAAAUAUACGGUUAUAUGUGGAUGUAUUGGGCUGGCUACAUCACUCAUUCACAAUGGUCUUAUGAGAAGACCUGCAUGGUCGGGGGUACACCGUCACUUCUUGUACAGCCUGUCUGGGGCCUCCGUGGGUUCGUUUCUGGGAGUUAUGGAAAAGGAACGAUUUGGCAGGAGGGAUUUUUACAUUGAGGACUACAUUGCAAGACAUCCAGAAGACUUUCAGAAACCCCCUCCUAAGAAGAUGGCUGAACGCUUUGAACCCCAUGUGCCCUGCCCAGGAAACUGAGUGAAUGACGGAUGCCAAUCAGUUGGAGUAUCUGCAUUUGCUUCAGCUUUGAUGUACAUUAAAAUCAGAGAUUUAUACUACUUUUGAGCUGUGGUGUUUAGAUUUUAUUUGGAAGGUGCAUGUUAAACCAAAUAACGCAAGAUUGAGAAUUCUCUGAUUUGUUUGCAAAGGGUUCCCUUCUAAGCACUGUCGAUAUCAGAAUUGUCAAUAAUCGAUAUAUCGGAUAUCCAAUAUCGAGAAUAUUCGAUAUAUCGAUUAUCUCAUGUAAAAAAUAAAGACCAUAAAGACGACACUUUGUUUUUGUUUUUUUAAUCAAUCUUAAGCCCCAAUUUUCCACGGCUUUCUCAGGAGCAUAUUGCACAAACUUUUUAAAACAAAUCUCAGCACUGAGAGAUUGUCCAGAACGGGUGGUUUCUUUUGAGGUUUUACAUUGGGGAGACCACGAACUCCAGCAAACGCAGAGCACAACGCGACGCCGUUUGGCAUUUCGCCUUUUUUUUUUUAGUCACAAGCACCAGUUGUCGCCAAGCUUUAUUUCAUUAUACUGCAAAUGUUAAACACAAAGUAACAGCACUAACGGGAGAUUUAUUUUGACGAUAAUCUGACGCAUUAUUGAUAUUUUCGAUAUCAUUCCUCAAUAUUGAGAAUUGUGAUAUUUCAAUACAAUUUUAAAAUUGGUACCAGCAAUAAUAUCAAUAUAUCAACGGUGCUUAGUCCCCUCUCAAUUUGCUCCUCGUAUCCCUCGUCUUGAUUACACAGUUUGAUAUCUAUUUAUAUUGCAAAUGUGUGUUUUGGCUGCAGAGUCAGAACAGAUGUAGCCAUGCGGCCAAAUUUUGUAGUUGAAUUAUGCAAUUACGUUUCACCUGUUGUUUGUUCGGGGACAGUGUUUUAACAGAUUCGGUCAGUUGUUUUAACAAACAUGGCCCAACCAUAUUUGGUAGGAAGUCAAAGAAAUUUGAUGCCUCUUAUCCAAGCCCGAGAAAUCUUGACAUUUCUCCGACUGAACUCUCGAAAAACAUUUACCGUCUCCAGAGAAAACCUUCUUGCUAUUAAGACCGCAAAAACGUGACAUCUGCGUCACACUUUAGAGUGCUUGUUUUUCAGAUAGCGGGAUAACAGGAUCCACAAUUAGUCCAAAGGGCGAGACGGUUUAAUCAAAUUAUAGUAUAGUUUCCUGUAAAGGCGAUACUGAACUGUCUUCUUCUAAUUGGUUAUAGCGAUGCGCGGUUGCAUUGUUUUAGCAAUUUAUACGCGCAUCGUUUUGUGGGCAGUCGGCAGAUGCAUAGGAACACUGUACUUAUAGCAACAGUUUUAACCAUUUGGACUUUUGAUAAAGGAUAUUUUCACAAGACUUUUUUUGCACGAAUUGGAGGAUUUAUUGUUCCUACCAUUUGUACACAUACAUGAACAACAAAGGAUUUUGAAAAUUGAAAAAAAAAGUUGUAAGGUUUACAAGAAAGAAUGCUUAAACAAAAGCCUUUUUUCUGUAGCCUUGUGAACACGUUUAUUCAUAUAUGGUUAAUUAAAGGUCUCAAAUUAAAAACAAACAAUUUUAGAUUUUAUCCAUUUCAGUCUGUUGUAAUUAGUGCAGAGAUGUUUGGCCCCCCAAAAAAGAUGUUUCUAGACAUUGUUCAGUCAUUACACAUUCACGUAACACUUAGAAAAGGAAAAGACUAACUUUGUUCGCAGUUUGAUACUUAAAAAUAAUUGGUCAAUUAUGACAGACUUGUUUGGUUU